rnacentral:misc_RNA from 1 species
GCAAACUUGGUCAUUUAGAGGAAGUAAAAGUCGUAACAAGGUUUCCGUAGGUGAACCUGCGGAAGGAUCAUUACAGCGCCUGCCGAUGUGCAUACUCUGCACUAGGCUUCCGGCCAUUCGUGUCUACCUUUCCUCUGUUGCCUUGGCAGGUCGUCCGGCUUUUACGAGCUGGCGUCCGGGACACACACUGCGGUAGUACUGCGGUGCCUGGACAGUACCUGCCAGAGGCCCCCCCUUUGAAUCUUUAUGAAGUUUAGGCAGUCUUACGUUUAAAUGAAAUUAUUAAAACUUUCAACAACGGAUCUCUUGGUUCUGGCAUCGAUGAAGAACGCAGC